GAUGAACGCUGGCGGCGUGCCUAAUACAUGCAAGUCGAGCGAACGGACGCGAAGCUUGCUUCUCUGAUGUUAGCGGCGGACGGGUGAGUAACACGUGGAUCACCUACCUAUAAGACGGGGAUCACUUCGGGAAACCGGAUCUUAUCCCGGAUAAUAUUUUGAACCGCAUUGUUCAUAAGUGAAAUUCGGUCUUGCUGUCACUUAUCGAUGGAUCCGCGCUGCAUUAGCUAGUUGUUAAGGUAACGGGUUACCAAGGCAACGAUGCAUAGACGACGUGAGAGGGUGGUCGGCCACCCGGGAACUGGGACGCGGUCCAGGGUACUAAGGGACGCAGCAGUCGGGAACCGUACGCAAUAGGGGGAAAUCUGGCGGAACAACGGCACGUGUGUUGCGAAAGUGUUGGGAGCGGAAAGACGUGCUAUUGGGGGAAAACCGCUUUCGAAGGAAACGAAGACAUCGUGACGGUAACGAAUAAAGAAGCCACGGCUAACUACGUG
rnacentral:rRNA from 1 species